CCCUAUUGGCCAGGGGGGAGAGCAAAGGUGGGGGCUCCAAAAGGAGGAAGUUUCAAAUUUUAUUUAAAGGCAAGCAUCUGGCCUUGCAAAAUCACUCUGGCUGCAGUCCUCCUUGGCUUGCUGAGUGCUUCUGUGACUGCAGCUUUGCUGAUAAACUUCCACAAAGGGCAGCAGCUCUCCUGACUUCUGGUAGGAGAACUUGAGUUCCUGAAGAAGAGGAAAGACACCAAAUUAGAAAAAGAUGUCUCCGAUAUCUUACCUCCUUUACUCUGAGGGGAUUCUUUCUGCAGCUUCAGAAUCAGCUGAUCAAUUCCAGCUUACCUGUAUAUAGUAAGAGUCGUUGGGAAUCACAUAGAGGUGAAGGAUUGUGGGUCUAUUCCUCUGAUAAAGCUGCACCACAGAAUGGAUAGGGAUGAAAUUAAAUAGAUUGCAGAUGCAUUUAUAUAUCGCGCCCAGCAGAGAGAAUUUUGGAUUCUCCAACACAACAUGAAACGGGCUCACCCGCGAUGGUGUCUCCAGGAUCAUUACUCCAUCAAUAAAAUGAGCAAUUUUCAUCUGA